rnacentral:rRNA from 1 species
GGGGAAUAUUGCACAAUGGGGGAAACCCUGAUGCAGCAACGCCGCGUGAAGGAUGAAGGUUUUCGGAUUGUAAACUUCUUUAGUCAGGGACGAAUAAAUGACGGUACCUGAAGAAUAAGCCACGGCUAACUACGUGCCAGCAGCCGCGGUAAUACGUAGGUGGCAAGCGUUGUCCGGAAUUACUGGGUGUAAAGGGCGUGUAGGCGGGAAUGUAAGUCAGAUGUGAAAUCCCAGAGCUUAACUCUGGAGCUGCAUCUGAAACUAUGUUUCUUGAGUGCCGGAGAGGAAAGCGGAAUUCCUAGUGUAGCGGUGAAAUGCGUAGAUAUUAGGAGGAACACCAGUGGCGAAGGCGGCUUUCUGGACGGUAACUGACGCUGAGACGCGAAAGCGUGGGGAGCAAAC